AACGAACGCUGGCGGCAUGCCUAACACAUGCAAGUCGAACGAGACCUUCGGGUCUAGUGGCGCACGGGUGCGUAACGCGUGGGAAUCUGCCCUUGGGUUCGGAAUAACUUCGGGAAACUGAAGCUAAUACCGGAUGAUGACGUAAGUCCAAAGAUUUAUCGCCCAAGGAUGAGCCCGCGUAGGAUUAGCUAGUUGGUGAGGUAAAGGCUCACCAAGGCGACGAUCCUUAGCUGGUCUGAGAGGAUGAUCAGCCACACUGGGACUGAGACACGGCCCAGACUCCUACGGGAGGCAGCAGUGGGGAAUAUUGGACAAUGGGUGAAAGCCUGAUCCAGCAAUGCCGCGUGAGUGAUGAAGGCCUAGGGUUGUAAAGACUCUUUUACCCGGAUGAUAAUGACAGUACCGGGAGGAAUAAGCUCCGGCUAACUCCGUGCCAGCAGCUGCGGUAAAGUAGGACUAACCUUG
rnacentral:rRNA from 1 species